CGGGCGUUCUGGGCUCCUCUGUUUCCUUUCGUCACCGUCCUCGCCGUUGUGUUCCUCUCUCAGUCUCGGGGCUUCUUCUCGCGGGCACCUCCGGCUGCUUCCUUUGCCACCGCAGCACCAGCGCUGUCCAUGGAGCCCCCGCCGCUCUCCUCGUUGCAGGAGGAGGGGGAGGAGGGGCCUACCGUCGAGGACUCGUCCGUCUUCUCCGCCGCCGUUGUGCCGCCUCGCCCCGCCACGCACAGCCACUCGCUCCACAAGUACGCGCCUCUGGACUGGUCCGCCUACUUCGACGAGGAGCGCCGCGUAGCCAUCCCCGACACCGACAACGUUUUCAAUGCGUACACGACCGGAUCGGAGGGGCCCGUCGUGUUCUGCCUGCACGGAGGCGGUUAUUCGGGGCUUUCAUUUGCUCUAGCAGCAAGUCAAAUGAAGGACAAGGCUCGUGUUGUUGCCAUGGAUCUAAGGGGGCAUGGAAAAUCAACAACGAAUGAUGAUCUGGAUUUGUCCAUUGAAACUCUUACCAAUGAUGUCAUAGCUGUUAUACGUACAAUGUAUGGAGAUUUGCCACCAGCAAUUAUACUUGUUGGGCAUAGCAUGGGCGGUUCAGUGGCUAUACAUGUGGCUGCAAGAAAAGAAAUUAGAAAUCUUCAUGGGCUUGUUGUCGUUGAUGUUGUCGAGGGAACAGCAAUGGCUUCAUUAGUUCAUAUGCAGAAGAUCUUAGCAAACCGGGCACAGCAUUUUCCUAGCAUUGAAAAAGCAAUUGAAUGGAGUGUCAAAGGUGGGCCAUUAAGGAACAUCGAGUCUGCUCGUGUGUCCAUUCCAUCUACCCUGAAAUACGAUGAAUCACGAGAAUGCUAUACAUAUCGCACUCCUCUUGAGCAAACAGAAAAGUACUGGAAAGGAUGGUCUUUCAGACAAGUUCCUAUCUUGCCCAGUGCAAAAGAUCCUGUUGUUAGCUGGUACCGACAGACUGGACAGAGCUUUAACAAUCGGUCAAAUGCAAGGAAAAUUUCAAAUGGUGGUGAUUCGGCACACUGGACAUGCUAUACAGGAAGAUGUACCUGAAGAAUUUGCAUCGCACAUACUGAAGUUCAUAUCCCGCAACAAAAUAGGGCCUAAUGGUGUCGAGAUACCUGGGCUCAUUAAAAAAUGGCAGCAGUAGACAUAAUGUACAAGUUACCGUUCUGGAAAAUGUUCAGGAAAAUGAUGAGUAGGUCUGCCUAUCCGAGUUCUCUUCAUAUCGAAUUAAAAAAA